rnacentral:lncRNA from 1 species
UUGAAGGUCGGGAGUUCGAGGCUCUACGUGAACAAAGGAGUUAAUUUUUUAUUGCCUGGCCGUGGAGGUGUUGUAGUUUGACCGAAAUUUGAGUGUUUGAGGAGUGUGGGGAUGUGUGGCCGAUUUUUAGAAGGUUAGUGGGGGGAUUGCAAUUGUUAAGGGGUUUGGAUAGUGGGUGGUUGGAGAAUUUGGAGGAGAGGAUUAAGGGAUGUG